GGCCCAAACUUGAAGGAGAGUAGAUUAUCGGAAUCAGCUGACCCUACUAAGCUAGUCUACUUCGAGUUUGUGCCC
rnacentral:pre_miRNA from 1 species